UCUCUCUUCACUCCCACAAGGAUAUGAUCCUGGCUCAGAACUAUCUCUCCGCGGCGCGCCUAACACAUGCAAGUCGAACGAGAAUCCGGGGCAACCCGGUAGUAAAGUGGCAAACGGGUGAGGAAUACAUGGGUCACCUACCCUUGAGAAGGGAAUAACCCGCCGAAAGGUGAGCUAAUACCCUAUACGCUAUCUUUUUUUUCGAAAAGGAUAGGAAAGCCUGGUCGAGGGCCUGGUACUCAAGGAGGGGCUCAUGUCCUAUCAGCUUGUUGGUGGGGUAACGGCCUACCAAGGCUACGACGGGUAGCUGGUCUGAGAGGAUGAUCAGCCACACUGGCACUGAGAUACGGGCCAGACUCCUACGGGAGGCAGCAGUGAGGAAUAUUGCGCAAUGGGCGAAAGCCUGACGCAGCGACGCCGCGUGGGGGAUGAAGGUUUUCGGAUUGUAAACCCUUUUCAUGAAGAAAGAUAAAGUGGGUAACCCUUCCCGGUACCUCAAGAAGAGCCACGGCUAACUCCUGCCGCAGCCCGGUAAUACAAAGGUGUCAUCUUUGUUCGGAUUACCUGGGGGAAGAGCCCGGAGGGGUUGGUAAACCUCCUUGGAAUCCUCCGGCUUAACCGGUAGGGCCGGAGC
rnacentral:rRNA from 1 species